GUGACUCCCUUGGUUCUGUGAUCAUGGGCUGUAGUCUCUGGGUUUCUCAAGAACUGGGCAUGAGGGGACAGUGAUGUGUGCCCAGCAGCCUCCAGUGAAAGCCUCCACCAACCUCCUGGCCUGAGAGUCACGUCCAGGUGCUUCUUAUUUUUUAGCCAUGUGCCUUGUGCAGGUGUUCAAACAGCAUCCUCCUCUGUACAACGGUAACAGCACCACCCUCACAGGACAGUUGGGCAGCAAGAAUAAGUUCAACUACACGUUACAAAAAAACAUAAAAGAAUAGUGGCUUACGCAAGAGAGAGAUUUCUUUCUUUGAUGUAGAAGGAGUCCAGAGUUGAACAGUUACCCCCUUCUCUCAUAUGAGGAAAUGAAGACUCAGGUGGGGUGAGUGGUUUUCUCUGUAGCUCAGAAGUUCCCCCUGACCUGACUUCAGAUGUACAGACUCCACACCCAGUGCUCUUCUCCUCUCCGGCCAGCCACGCUGAGGGUGACCCCUUCACCUACUGUCCAUGGAGCUGGCAGCCUCUAGUUUGGACACUGACGCUGACUCUCACUAGAGGGAGCCACACGAAGCUGACCAGGCCAGCUGCCAAAAGGCUGGGAGGAGGCCGUCCACAGGGCGCCACACAUAAGGCGGUGAACGCACAAGUUCCCCCAGUGCUGGCUGCUGCUUGACACACAUGGAAAUGAAGGGGAAAAUUCCACAUAUCCAGACCACAGGACAUACGUUGGCAAUGGUUAGAGGUGUGGACUGAGGCUCUACAAGAACGGGCUGGCAUGAGCUGGGACCCCAUCAGACCUGUAGCUGGAGCUAUGUCAGUGGGUAAAUAUGUAAUUAUGUAAACUUGUAAUCAUAUAAGUGUGUAACUGUGUCAGCAUAUGUAAGUGCUUAGGAUAUAAAGUGUAAGGGACCAAUGGAUGGUG